AGAAAAAUAAAUAAGCAAGUGCCGCAGUCUGGCUGGGCACAAAAUAACCAAGCCGCCACGAGGCACUUGUAGGUUCAAACAGGAACUACUUUAUUGCCCGAACUCCACCCGCACUCCACAUGCACUCCCCGGGAACUCUCCCAUCUCUCAACUGGGCUCCGUGAGAACUCAACGGAAACUCCGUGUGAGAACUCAAAAGUAGCCGGCACCCGAGGCAGCAGGAGCCGCCCUAUUGCCGGACAGCAGGGGUCUAUAUACAACUGAAUACACAGCCUGUUUCAAUCCAGCAUCAUCCAGUCACAGCAAUUAUACACAGCUUAACUUAAUUAUCAUCAUCCUA
rnacentral:lncRNA from 1 species